AACUGCGAAUGGCUCAUUAAAUCAGUUAUCGUUUAUUUGAUAGUACCCUACUACAUGGAUACCUGUGGUAAUUCUAGAGCUAAUACAUGCGCAAAACCCCGACUUCGGAAGGGGUGUAUUUAUUAGAUAAAAAACCAAUGCCCUUCGGGGCUCCUUGGUGAUUCAUAAUAACUUAACGAAUCGCAUGGCCUUGCGCCGGCGAUGGUUCAUUCAAAUUUCUGCCCUAUCAACUUUCGAUGGUAGGAUAGUGGCCUACCAUGGUGGCAACGGGUAACGGGGAAUUAGGGUUCGAUUCCGGAGAGGGAGCCUGAGAAACGGCUACCACAUCCAAGGAAGGCAGCAGGCGCGCAAAUUACCCAAUCCCGAUCCGGGGAGGUAGUGACAAUAAAUACUGAUAUAGGGCUCUUUUGGGUCUUAUAAUUGGAAUGAGUACAAUCUAAACCCCUUAACGAGGAACAAUUGGAGGGCAAGUCUGGUGCCAGCAGCCGCGGUAAUUCCAGCUCCAAUAGCGUAUAUUAAAGUUGUUGCAGUUAAAAAGCUCGUAGUUGAACCUUGGGCCCGUCCUGCCGGUCCGCCUCACCGCGAGUACUGGUCCGGAUGGGCCUUUCUUUCUGGGGAAUCCCAUGGCCUUCACUGGCUGUGGCGGGGAACCAGGACUUUUACUGUGAAAAAAUUAGAGUGUUCAAAGCAGGCCUUUGCUCGGAUACAUUAGCAUGGAAUAAUAAAAUAGGACGUGUGGUUCUAUUUUGUUGGUUUCUAGGACCGCCGUAAUGAUUAAUAGGGAUAGUCGGGGGCGUCAGUAUUCAGCUGUCAGAGGUGAAAUUCUUGGAUUUGCUGAAGACUAACUACUGCGAAAGCAUUCGCCAAGGAUGUUUUCAUUAAUCAGGGAACGAAAGUUAGGGGAUCGAAGACGAUCAGAUACCGUCGUAGUCUUAACCAUAAACUAUGCCGACUAGGGAUCGGGCGGUGUUUCUAUGAUGACCCGCUCGGCACCUUACGAGAAAUCAAAGUUU
rnacentral:rRNA from 1 species